GGCCUCUUGGUCUAGUGGUAUGAUUCUCGCUUUGGGUUCUUCAAAUACAAUUUGCGAGAGGCCCCGGGUUCGAAUCCCGGAGAGGCCC
rnacentral:tRNA from 1 species